GAACCGGUUUCGGCCGGGGAUUAGUGGCGAACGGGUGAGUAACACGUGGGCAAUCUGCCCUGCACUCUGGGAUAAGCCCGGGAAACUGGGUCUAAUACCGGAUACUACACAUGAGCGCAUGCUCGUGUGUGGAAAGUUCCGGCGGUGCAGGAUGAGCCCGCGGCCUAUCAGUUUGUUGGUGGGGUAGUGGCCUACCAAGACGACGACGGGUAGCCGGCCUGAGAGGGUGACCGGCCACACUGGGACUGAGACACGGCCCAUACUCCUACGGGAGGCAGCAGUGGGGAAUAUUGCACAAUGGGCGAAAGCCUGAUGCAGCGACGCCGCGUGAGGGAUGACGGCCUUCGGGUUGUAAACCUCUUUCAGCAGGGAAGAAGCGAAAGUGACGGUACCUGCAGAAGAAGCACCGGCUAACUACGUGCCAGCAGCCGCGGUAAUACGUAGGGUGCAAGCGUUGUCCGGAAUUAUUGGGCGUAAAGAGCUCGUAGGCGGCCUGUCGCGUCGAUUGUGAAAGCCCAGGGCUUAACCCUGGGUCUGCGUCGAUACGGGCAGGCUAGAGUUCGGUAGGGGAGAUCGGAAUUCCUGGUGUAGCGGUGAAAUGCGCAGAUAUCAGGAGGAACACCGGUGGCGAAGGCGGAUCUCUGGGCCGAUACUGACGCUGAGGAGCGAAG
rnacentral:rRNA from 1 species